UACGUAGGGUGCAAGCGUUAAUCGGAAUUACUGGGCGUAAAGCGUGCGCAGGCGGUUUUGUAAGUCAGAUGUGAAAAUCCCCGGGCUUAACCUGGGAACUGCGUUUGAAACUACAAGGCUAGAGUGGUGGCAGAGGGGGGGUGGAAUUCCACGUGUAGCAGUGAAAUGCGUAGAGAUGUGGAGGAACACCGAUGGCGAAGGCAGCCCCCUGGGUUAACACUGACGCUCAGGCACGAAAGCGUGGGGAGCAAACAGG
rnacentral:rRNA from 1 species